rnacentral:lncRNA from 1 species
UGGACGUGAUUAAGACGAGGGUCAUGAAUAUGAAGGUUGAGGCGGGGAGGGACCCACCGUAUAAGGGGGCCUUAGAUUGCGCGCUGAAGACAGUGAGAGCUGAAGGGCCCAUGGCUCUUUAUAAAGGGUUCAUUCCAACCAUUUCGAGGCAGGGCCCUUUCACUGUAGUGUUGUUUGUGACAUUAGAGCAAGUGAGGAAGCUGCUCAAAGAGUUUUGAUUAUUUUAGGACGAUGAUGAUAAAGUUAAAACGAGGCAAACUUAAUGUUAUUAUUGUAACUGUUAGCAGUUGUUUUGGUUAGUGAAUGAUUUUUUCAUUGUUUUGUCACUGAGCUGCAAGGAAGCGGCACAAGCAAACCUUGGAUUUCUUAGCAACUACAUAAAACGCGUAAACGAAUCUUUUAUUGCCAUUUGUCUCAGAAAGAAAAUAUAGUUUGUUAUUAUUUAUUUAUUAUUAACAGUUUUGGAGGCCAGCCUGCAUUUCAAG